AGUGGCGACUCUGGAGCCGGGGAUUCCUGAUUCAGCCAGGAGCCGCGGGCUGGGACUGGCUGAAGGUCGUUAAGAAUUGAAGUGCUGAAGACUCUUCAAUUCCAAGCCUAGAGAAGCUUACAACCGCGCCAAUCGGUUUUGUUCCGAGACGCUGGAAGACUGGAUGGAGGUUCUCCAUCAAUACCGGGGUUCUACCCUUUAAGGAAAGAAGAUCAACCCUUUCACAAAAACGCA
rnacentral:lncRNA from 1 species